AACGAACGCUGGCGGCAUGCCUAACACAUGCAAGUCGAACGAGACCUUCGGGUCGAGUGGCGCACGGGUGCGUAACGCGUGGGAACCUGCCCUUAGGUUCGGAAUAACUCCCCGAAAGGGGUGCUAAUACCGGACAAUGUCUUCGGACCAAAGAUUUAUCGCCUUUGGAUGGGCCCGCGUUGGAUUAGCUAGUUGGUAGGGUAAAAGCCUACUAAGGCGACGAUCCAUAGCUGGUCUGAGAGGAUGAUCAGCCACACUGGGACUGAGACACGGCCCAGACUCCUACGGGAGGCAGCAGUGGGGAAUAUUAGACAAUGGGCGAAAGCCUGAUCCAGCAAUGCCGCGUGAGUGAUGAAGGCCUUAGGGUUGUAAAGCUCUUUUACCCGGGAUGAUAAUGACAGUACCGGGAGAAUAAGCCCCGGCUAACUCCGUG
rnacentral:rRNA from 1 species